GUGCUUGCUUCAGCAGCUCAUAAAGCUGGAACAAUAUGAAGAAGAUGAGCAUAGCCCCCUUGCACAAAAUACCACACAAAUUUGUGAAGCAUUUUAUAUUUUA
rnacentral:snRNA from 1 species